AAUCAACGCUGGCGGCGUGCCUCAGACAUGCAAGUCGAACGAUUAAGACUUCCUUCGGGAAGUGUAUAAAGUGGCGCACGGGUGAGUAACACGUAAGUAAUCUACCUUCGAGUGGGGAAUAACAUCGGGAAACCGAUGCUAAUACCGCAUAAUGCAGCGGCAUCGCAAGAUGACAGUUGUUAAAGGAGCAAUUCGCUUGAAGAGGAGCUGGGGGCAGAUUAGCUAGUUGGUAAGGUAAUGGCUUACCAAGGCUACGAUCUGAACCCGGUCUAAGAGCACGGUCGGACACACUGACAAUGAAUAACGGGUCAGACUGCUACGGGAGGCAGCAGUCGGGAAUUUUGGGGAAUGGGCGAAAGCCUGAACCAGCAACGCCGCGUGAGGGAUGAAGUAUUUCGGUAUGUAAACCUCGAAAGAGUGGGAAGAAUAAAUGACGGUACCAUUUAUAAGCUCCGGCUAACUACGUGCCAGCAGCCGCGGUAACAC
rnacentral:rRNA from 1 species